GGGGGGGGGGUGUGCGCGCGCGCGCGCGCUCCCGCGGGCGCCCUGUGAGGGGUUGGGGGUCCCACACCGGCCAUGGCCGGCGGCUGAGGGCGGCGAAGCCCCGCGCACCGGCCCGGUGGGCCGCGGUCAACCAACCAGUUCACCCACCCGCUCCCGCCCGCGGUUGAGGACCCGCCUCGCCUGUUUUUCUACCCAAACCCCAAACAUGGCGGCGGCUUUGUCCACCGUUCACCCCCUCCACCUUCCCCAAGCGCACACACGCACCCCCCGCUCACGGCAGGGCUCCGGCGGCUCAGCGGGGGAACCGGCGGCUCCGCGCACUGCAGUAGCGCCCGCCGCCCUCAGGCCUGGCGCGGAAACGCGAACAAUGGGGAUAGUAACCGCAGCGCCUGAAAACCUGCCAACCCUGACCUUUCCAGAGCGUACUUCCAGAGUGACUGUUUGUUUGUGCAGGCAGGUUGAUUUGGUGGAUCUCUGAUUGGAAAUCAGCAAGUGACCUGGCAGGGGGAUACGAAAUGGCCACUCUUUCACAUGCACCCUGAAGUCCAAUCGUUUGAUGCCUAACCAGAGCAAUUCCCUCUGCAAAGUACUGUUAUAAGGAAUCAUUAGCUAAAACAACGUUAGAUUAAAAUACCUGUAAGGGAGCCAGUGCAAUUGAACAGAUAAGUGGUGACUUUAGGACUGUGGAGGUGUGGCAUCUAUUCACAGCUUUUGUUUCUGACCGAGUGGUUAGUGUAAAACAAAUCCCUUUGCUAAUCCCUGUUGAAGCCUUUGUAUUUCUGACAGUUAAUGAUCAUUUUUGUCUUCUAAUGAGUAUUAAUAAUCAUACACUGGAAUACAUUUAGGAUGUGUCAUUUUAUUAGUCUGAUUGGUCUUAGUCCCCAUUCCUGCAUUUGAAUAAUGAUGGAAAAUAGGUUCUCUGUUGUUUACACAUCGUGAUCCACAGAUCCACAUGACUUCCUGGCUUUGAAGUGGGCUGUACGGGCUGUUUUCUUGCUGUCUGAUUUUCAGUGAUAAAUAAAGCCCGUUUUGCCCAA